rnacentral:tRNA from 1 species
GCGACUAUGGCGGAACUGGCAGACGCGCAAGACUUAGGAUCUUGUCCCGAAAGGGGUGGUGGUUCAACUCCCUCUAGUCGCA